rnacentral:rRNA from 1 species
GGGCUAGCGUUGCUCGGAAUCACUGGGCGUAAAGGGCGCGUAGGCGGACUCUUAAGUCGGGGGUGAAAGCCCAGGGCUCAACCCUGGAAUUGCCUUCGAUACUGAGAGUCUUGAGUUCGGAAGAGGUUGGUGGAACUGCGAGUGUAGAGGUGAAAUUCGUAGAUAUUCGCAAGAACACCAGUGGCGAAGGCGGCCAACUGGUCCGAUACUGACGCUGAGGCGCGAAAGCGUGGGGAGCAAAC